GCUCGUGUAGCUCAGUGGUUAGAGCUUCGUGCUUAUAGCAACAUUCGGUUUCCGAAGUUUCUGUGCCAAAGACCUUUCAAACAGGCCUUUAAUAGCAACGCGACCGUCGUGGGUUCAAUCCCCACCUCGAGCA
rnacentral:tRNA from 1 species